GACGAACGCUGGCGGCGUGCUUAACACAUGCAAGUCGAGCGGUGCGGCGAACGGGUGAGUAACGCGUGAGUAACUGCCCCCCUCCCUGGGAUAACAGUUGGCAACGGCUGCCAAUACCGGAUAGUGGGGGAUGACUCGCGUCCAAUCGGCUUGUUGGUGGGGUAGUGGCCUACCGCGGCGACGACGGGUAGCCGGCCUGGGAGGGCGACCGGCCACAUGGGUCUGAGAUACGGACCAGACGCCUACGGGGGACAGCAGUGGCGAAUAUGACACAGUGGGGGAGAGCCUGAUGCAGCAACGCCGCGGGCGGAAUGACGGCCUUCGGGUUGUAAACCGCUUACAGCCAUGACGCGGUAGUGGCAGAAGAAGCACCGGCUAACUACGUGCCAGCAGCCGCGGUAAUAC
rnacentral:rRNA from 1 species